AACAUUCAUUAGGUCCGUCUCCACAAGUCUCGACGCAGCCUCGCAGAUUGAGCCCUGUACGUCCACAGUCAGGUUACUUCGGUGACGAGGCCGGUCCGUCUUCGGCGGCCCCACACCCUACCCCCCCCCGCAACGUACUACGGCACGUCAGCGUGGCCUUCUUCUGCUGCACCGUCGUACCACGCAGGCCCCUCCAGCCAGUACACAUGGACGCCUGCCGAGCCUUCACAGUCCUCCUACCCUAGUCAGGAGAAUGAGGCUGGCCCCGACACCGCAUACGACAUCGUCCGUGACUUCUUCGGGGGCACACCUCACUACGACGUCCUUCAGCGGUCCCAGGUUUCCAGUGCACCGCUUCGGACCCAGCCCACGCAUGACGAGCCCUCGACACCGGUGGUUCCUACUAGGCCUAGCAGACACGUCGGCCCACCUAACCCCCUCACCUACUCCAGGGGUCACGUGAGGGUUAACCAGCGGCAUCGGGACCACGAUGGGGCGCACGGACGACGGC